UAUUGCAAGGUGAAAGAUGGUUCAGGACCUUCCAACAACCAUUUCCUUUUUGGAGGCAGCUUCCAUUUUAUUUUGUUCAUGUUUGUACCUAGAGCUGGACUUUAAGAGGCUGCAGGCCUGACAGGUGAAUAACAGAAAUGUGUCUGAUUCUUGGAAUCUAAUAUGUGCAACCAUGUGGUGGUGUGUUGUUUUUGUUGGUUUGUUUGGAAACCGAAGUUUAAAAAAUCCAGAUACCAAAAGUUGUCCCUGCCUGUUUAAUUUCUGGUUCAUUCUUUUAUUUGGACUACAUAGGAAGACCAGCUGGGUCUGACUGUAGGAUCCUAGAAGGAAGUGGCACUAAGUUGCAGAGGUCAGCAGAGGAGCUGUUUCUGAGAAAGAGCAUAGUGAUUGUGACAAGCAGGCACCUAAAUCAAAUAAGAUCACAGACAAUGAGUAAAAGCAAAUUAAAUUCUGUUCAGUGCAAGACUGAAACAGAAAAAUCAGCAUGAGAUUUUUUUAAUCCCUCACUGCUGUCAAGAUUCAAGAUUGAAGAGGACAUUUUAUCUAUAAAUACAUGGUUUAUUUGUGUAAUAAUGGAACAUAUAUGGAAGAACUACUGGCACACAAAUACUACAUAGAAAUGUAGUAUUUAACAGGUAUCUCCAAGGCCCUGUGUCUGUCAGAAAGCUUGAAGAGAGAAUAUUUCUUCCUCUGUGAUGUGGAAACAUUUGUGGAGGUGUUCUGGGAAUUUGUGGUGUGAUGUCAACUUUUUCCCUUGUCGAACAAUGUAGUUUGAUGGCUGCAGACCUUGAGCAGCAGUACGAGGUUUUUUCGGAUUCCCACAUUGGAUGUACUAACCAAACUGUGCUGUUGUAAGAAUCAUCUAUCAAGAAAAGCUGUUUAAGCCUUCUCCUUUCCCUCCACCUUAAAACUUUCUCAUAAAAGCAUUUUCCUCACAGUGGAAGGAAACAAACACCAUGGUGAAGUAGUCUGGAAGAAAAUACACAGCUUUAGCUACACAGCUGACAUGAUCAUUUAGCUUGUGUGAUCUUCUAGCUUGUGUUAAAGACACCCUUAAAAUUGCAGAGAUUGAAAUUUGGAGGAAGAAAAUCAGUCACAUCUCUGGUUAUAUAUUUGUGUUUUAAGGUAGUUCAUGAAGGUCGGAAGCGAAUGUAGCAGCACCCACUUGAGGAGCCAGAGUGUUUCACAAGGAAACUGUGCUGCUUUCUCAGCUCACUCUGGUAAUUCCACAGCACUUAGCUUGUAAAACCACUCCUUCAGUCUGGGAAGACUUGCUUCUCUCCUGACCAUUCUCUUGUGGUUAUGGUUAUCUGCCAGCUCGUACCCUGGUGAGAAUCUGCUUGCAACUGUCUGUGCUUAGCUAUGCAGACACCCCAAAGGCAGAUGGGUGUUGCUAGCAGAGUGCAAGGCACAGCGGCCUCAGGAUAGCUCGCUCUCCCACUUCAGAGGUAGCUGUACAUUCCUAUGAGUUGCUUUCCUUGCUGUUCCCUCUCCUUUGCCCACUUCAGACAUCCUUUGAGUGUGCUGCACCUUCAGUUUAUCUACUGGUGUUCGCAGACAGAUGAGUCUGAGAGUGAAAUGUUUAAAAAGAACUGGUACUUGACUUGUGACAAGAGGCAGGUUGCAGGAAAUGCCCAUUUUCUUUAGCACUGUCUCUGUUUUCUUCAUCUCUGCUUUCACUGUCUCUGUCUUCUUUAUCUUCUUUCACCGUGUCUGCCUUCUGUAUCUCUCCUUUAUUCAUAAUGUAUGAUAAGGCAGCAGAGAGCUCUAGAUUGACUUGAUUUGGUGUGAUAGGAUGUUUCACAUGAAACCAAGCUCUGUCACAAAUGGCUAUGGAAGUGAAGCUGACAGCUUACAGUUCACGAACCUUUCCCUUUGGUCUUUAAUAUAUAGCCCUGCAUCAUCAGCCUCUUAAUUUUUAAUGGUUAUUCAAGUGCUAGAAUUUUGUCAAAAACAACUUGACUUUCGGUUUUGUACAAGGGAGCUAAAAUCAUUGCUGUAAUAUGGGAUUCAGGUAAAUUAGUUUCUACAUAUAAAGAAAUUGAAAUGAAAUUUGACAAAAGGCACAAAUAUGAUAAUGUGGUUUUGUUCGUUUUGUGUUUGUGUUCAUUUGUCUUAUCCACAUCUCUUGCCCUUCUCAUGAGGCUGGGUGCAGCUCCAACUGUUUCUGGUAUGUUUUCUACAGCAUCUCAAUCCUCAGUCUAGCCAGGAAAUGCUCUCCCCAGGCCUAAAAUGUCUUCACAUUACUAUUUUACAGUUGUAUUUUUUAUCUCAGUCACUCAGCCACUGUGGGAGAUGUAACUUACCCUUCAGAGAAGACCUCUGAGCCUUACAGGCUAAUGAGAGCAGCUGACACGCAUUCAUGCUUCAGCCUGCAGUGUUGAGUUCAGCAGUUGUACGUUUUUAAAGUACUGUGACAUAGAGGUCAGGGGAUGAUAUCCAGGGCAGCACAGAAUUAUGGAAGAGGAUUAGGAUCAGCUAGAUUUUAAAACCGCUGAUCACAUUUGGGGUACUAAAUGUAAUUUGUGUAGCUCUGAUAAAAUUCAAACAAAACAAAACAAAAAAAAUAUGACCCUACUUCAUCUGAGAUAAAACAUCUAAUUUAAAAAUAUUUAAAAUCUGAAAUAGAUUGCAUUGCGAUGUUUCAGUCCUCUUGUCAGAUAUGUGAUGCCAUGUUGUCCUUUUGCAUAUUAAAUAAGGCCUGCCAGGACUUUGUGCACUUGCCCAGCUCACCCUGUGCUGUUGGAAGCUGCUCUGCCCCUGAGCACAGAGGUCUGGCAGGGUGGCUGCCUUGUGACAGGGAUUUUAGCCUGGCUAAUGACAGUCCAGAGGGGCAUUUGCAGAGUGACAGAGAUGACAGAACACUGUUUCUUGCUCUUUUCCUUUUAUAUGAAUUUUCCAGUUAUUUUACUGAGGACUGUCAUAAGUGUGUGUCCAUAUUGUGUGCAGAUAAUUGUACAUUACAUUGGAUUCAGACCCCUAACCCUGGCAGUCUGAGCAGCCUGCUGGGAGCUCUAUGGGAGGGAGAGGAAGUCAAAGCCCAGCUUCUCAAGUUUGGCAUAUGAAGUAAAUGGCCUCUGCUGCAGGACAACUCACCAAGCUCAAGUAAGAGCUGGGUUACAAGUGCACUUGAUCACAUCUGUGUCUUAACAAUUAUUCCACCUGGGUUUCAUGCUUUAUAACCUUGGGGUAGUUUGAUGCAAAUGGAAUUGCACUUUUUGCAUGGUAGAAAAUUGUCAUUUGAUAUUGAAAUACAUUUUUAAAUAAAUGUGGUUAUGUUAUACAUAAUUUUAAUGCACUUUUCUCAUUUAUAUUUUUUUUUCUUACUUAUUACUUGCUGUUUAUUUUAUAUCAAUUUUAGACUAUGUAAAUUAUGUUAGACAAAAAGCAAAUUCAAAGGAUUUUCUUAUUUGAGUUCAAAAUUUCACCUCUUGCUAACUGACUACCACUUUUUCAAGUACCUCAAUAACUUUUUGCAGGGAAAACACAACCAGGAGGAUGCAGAAAAUGCUUUCCAAGAGUUCACUGAAUAUCAAAGCACAGAUUUUUACACUACAGGAAUAGACAAACUUAUUUAUCUUUUGUGAAUAUGUGUUGAUUGUAAUAGUUCCUAUUUUGCUUAAUAAAGAUGUCUUUGAGCCUACUUAUGAUGAUUUAAAAUUCAUGGUCCAAAACCACAAUUACUUUUGCAUCAACCUAAUACCUGGAUGGGUGCUGACUAUUGGCUGAGCCAAAGCCUUCUGCCUGAGCUGAUAAGCCCAUCUGAGAGGCAAUUUGUAAUUGCUCAGGCUCAGUGCCCUGCCAGGACAGGUACACAGGACACAGACUUGUGAAAAUAUCUUCAGUUAUGUGAGAAUUGCUUAGUCCUGCCCCGUCUCUUUCUUAGAGUUGGACCAAUCAGGUGGCUGAUGAUAAAACUUGAUUUGAUUUAAAAACUGUACACAGCCUUUGAAGAAUUCCGCCUUGCUGACGUGAGUCAGAUGUAGGGACAAGGGGGCUCUCAGUCAUAUUCCACAAAUCUGUACCACAAAGCGGCUGCCUGCACAUUCCAUCUAAUUAACAAAGGUCUGUGUAAAACAAAGCGGGGACAACAGGUGGCUGUUGAAAACCAUGUCUCUCAUUAUUUCUGUUUUUAAAGGGAACGGUAAAACCUACUUAUUGGGCUACAUGUUCUUUCUGUUCAUAGAAUACUUAUCACACAUCUUAGAAAGGUGUGGGGUGCCAACAAACUGGUGAUAAGUGAUGUGAACUAAAACUAGUACAGGCUCAAGUUUUCCUGUGGAGUGAACACUUUGCCUUGAGAACUUGUGCCCACCAUCCCAUGCCCCGUCAU